rnacentral:misc_RNA from 1 species
CCGAGUUUACAACUCCCAAACCCCUGUGAACAUACCACUUGUUGCCUCGGCGGAUCAGCCCGCUCCCGGUAAAACGGGACGGCCCGCCAGAGGACCCCUAAACUCUAGUAACCUUUACCUUCUGAGUUUUAAUAUUAAAAAUAAGUCA